rnacentral:rRNA from 1 species
UACGUAGGGGGGCAAGCGUUGUCCGGAAUCAUUGGGCGUAAAGAGCGUGUAGGCGGUUCGGUAAGUCGGCUGUGAAAGUCCAGGGCUCAACCCUGGGAUGCCGGUCGAUACUGCCGGACUAGAGUUCGGAAGAGGCGAGUGGAAUUCCCGGUGUAGCGGUGAAUGCGCAGAUAUCAGGAGGAACACCGGUGGCGAAGGCGGGUCUCUGGGCAGUAACUGACGCUGAGGAGCGAAAGCGUGGGGAGCGAACAGG